rnacentral:pre_miRNA from 1 species
UGGGACAGGCCAGAUCCUUGCCUGUGUCCCUGGAGCCCUGUGUUCCAGGGCCUGCGCUGUUGGAUUCGCACUCCUGGCUGCGUAGCACCCU